GACACUUGUGUGCUGAACGCAGGGCGGGGAGGGGUGUUUAUGGCCUGUCCCCAAGGACUCCACGUGUGUCCCUUUUGCACACGCAUUUGGACACAGGUUCUGAGGCCAUUGGCGGAGGGGGGAGCAGAAGGGCCGGGUGGAUUCAGGAAGCAGGCUCACCUAGCCUUUCUCUCUUUCCCAACUGGGCACGAGGGUGCCUGGCACUAAGGACGCUCCUCAGCGUGGAACGAGAAACAAUGUCACCCUCGGAGAGGAGUGUACCUCUCAGCCCACUGGCCAGCACUCCAUGUUCCUCCCUUUAGGAAAGACCCAGCUUCCACUGGCCUAGUGUGUGUGCACACACGUGUGCCUUCUGGUCAUUGCUCCAGAACACGAGGAGGGAAGAAACAGAAAAUCAUCAAAGAGGAAAAUUAACGGCUGGAGAGGGCAUUGUUAACCCUUAUGGCUUGGCUCACCUGGCUUUCCACCCCGCAGCUCCGCGUGCACCCGCCAAAGCGGCUGAGUCUUUUUAUGACUACAACUCCAAGAAGGGAAAAAAGACGCGAAAAGAAGAGGGGGGGAAAAAACCAAACCAGGAGGCAGAGGAGAAAAAAGCAAAAGAAAAGAGAAAGAGAAUUAAACCAUUAAUCUGCCUGGAUUUUCCACUUCACAGAGUAAUCAGUUUGGAAGUGACUGAAAUAAAGUGGAAUGUACGAUUCCCACCAUCUCCUCCCUCCAGUCCACAUUUCUUAUUUACAGAAAAACGGGGAGCCAGAGAGGCGGCCUCCUUGCCCCCCACAAAGGCCUCCAGUGUCCGCUCGAGACGAGGACAAGGACCCCAGCCCUCAGCCGCAGCUGCCCGAUGCCUCGACACCCGGGCGACGGCCGCCCUGAGCUGGAGGUGCAAAGCCAAGAUGAUUUAAUUUAUAGAAAGGACAAGGAUGUCGUGUAGCAGAUUUAAUCAUCGGAGAGUUUAAAAAAAAAUAAGGACCGGGCUAAUGUCGUAAUUUACAUUUCAGGAUAAUAAAG
rnacentral:lncRNA from 1 species